GGAUAGCUCAGCUUGGUUAGAGCAUCAGACUGUUAAUCUGAUUGUCGAAGGUUCGAAUCCUUCUCC
rnacentral:tRNA from 1 species